UUUUGGCUUGUCACAUUGAGCCCCGUGAACUCAAGUCGUGUUAAUAAGGAAGAAGAGGAGAGUGGUUAUUGCCUAGGCAGCAAGCAAUGGGGCCAUAUUGGAAGACUGUGAGCCCUUUAAUAAGCAGCAGAGUAGAAAGUGGAGCCAUUUGCUGAGACUGGAAAAACAGCACUCCUGGUUCUCAGCCUUCAGCACAGGACUGGAAUCUGCACCAUCAGCUCUGUGGUUCUCAGGCCUUCUAGCUACACCACCAGCUGUCCUGGGUCUCUAGCAUGCAGACUGCAAAUCAUGGGACUCCUCAGCCUCCAUAAUCACAUGAGCCAAUUCCUUAUAAUAAAUCUUUCCCUAGAUAUACAUCUAUUUAUAUGUCCUAUUAGUUUUGUUUCUCUGGAAAACCAUGACUAAUACAGAUGCCAUGGCUAUAGGACUUUUCUGAUGAAGCUCAGCUGUCAGAUCCAUUUAACCAGUCUCUACGAACUUCCAAAAUUUCCCUCAUUUUCCUGUGUUCUUC
rnacentral:lncRNA from 1 species